GAUCGCUUUAACGUAUAUUUAUUCGGUUGAAUUCAAAUAAAUCCCAUCAGCCGGCACUUGCACGAUAGAUCUCGGUGAAUAUUUCAAUGGUAUCGACGUUUUCUCGCAGGGACUCAACUUGAACUUUGACAGUAAACUGAUCAGAGCUAUUUUGGUCUGUAUCAUGCCCAAGCGUACUCCUAUACAACUUCUUGGACCUUGUCCGAACGGUAAAUAAACGUAAGGGCUUCGGGAGACGCCGUUUUUACUUGAGAAUCGCUCUGGAUCAAAUUUCUCUGGAUUGGGGAAGUAUCUUGGAUUUUUCAUGAUACCGGAAGCAGGAAUUAUGAUUCUCAUCCCCUUUGGCACUCUGUAAUUGACCUCGGGAAAAUCGCAUUCCUCGACGCAAACGCGAUUUAAAAAUGGAGAUGUUGGGUGUUUCCUUAAUGUUUCAUAGACCACCAUAUCCAGGUACUUCAUCUUAUUAAUGCAAUUGUUAUAGGAACAUCCAUCCACGCUGUUCAAAAGCUCAUCGAUUUCCUCGUCUACUUUUUCUUGAAUGUCUGGGUUGAUGGCUAAUUCAUAUAAGGCAUACGCGAUUGUUGUGCCGAACUGGUCUCGAAUCCGGCCAAGAAGAAUACGAACGCCUGAGCAUAUGCUUCCAUCAAAGUUAUUUUUGAAUCGUCACUUUCUGAAUUCGGAAUCCGGAUGGUUUAGACUGUCACAGUUGACGCCAAAUGCUAUGGAAG